rnacentral:rRNA from 1 species
CCUACGGGUCGCAGCAGUGAGGAAUAUUGGUCAAUGGACGCAAGUCUGAACCAGCCAUGCCGCGUGCAGGAAGACGGCUCUAUGAGUUGUAAACUGCUUUUGUACGAGGGUAAACGCAGAUACGUGUAUCUGGCUGAAAGUAUCGUACGAAUAAGGAUCGGCUAACUCCGUGCCAGCAGCCGCGGUAAUACGGAGGAUUCAAGCGUUAUCCGGAUUUAUUGGGGUUAAAGGGUGCGUAGGCGGUCGGAUAAGUUAGAGGUGAAAUGCCGGGGCGUAAAUUCGGAAGUGCCUCUGAUACUGUUCGUCUAGAGAGUGGUUGAGGUAGGCGGAAU